rnacentral:rRNA from 1 species
AUUGAACGCUGGCGGCAUGCCUAACACAUGCAAGUCGAGCGAGCGGCGGACGGGUGAGUAAUGUCUGGGAAACUGCCUGAUGGAGGGGGAUAAAUACUGGAAACGGUAGCUAAUACCGCAUACCAUCAGAUGUGCCCAGAUGGGAUUAGCUAGUUGGUGGGGUAACGGCUCACCUAGGCGACGAUCCCUAGCUGGUCUGAGAGGUUGACCCGCCGCACGGGAACGGAGACACGUUCCAGACUCCGACGGGAGGCAGCAGUGGGGAAUAGUGGACAACGGGGGCAAGCCUGAGGCAGCCAGGCCGCGUGUGUGAAGAAGGCCUUCGGGUUGUAAAGCACUUUCAGCGGGGAGGCGUUACCCGCAGAAGAAGCACCGGCUAACUCCGUGCCAGCAGCCGCGGUAAUUC